GUUUUCAAUUCUACUAAACACCACUCAACAGAUGGAUUGGAACAAAUGUUCAUAUGUUAAAUCUAAAAGAAAAUCAGCAACCGCGACUACCACAUCUAUAAGGUGUACAGGAAAGUGUUGCAUUUACACUCUCUCAAUACACUGACAAAAAAAGAAGAGACAUAGGGAACCAAAUUGGUGCAGAUAUAGUAGACAAAUGGAAAGCAAAGAAGAUGAGUAUUGCAAACCAAAAAAUGACAACAUAGCUCCGCACACAACGCAAUCUAAUGGCCUUAGAAGUCUGUUGCGGGUGAAGCUGGGCACCAACUAUGAACUGCCCAGUCAUGUUGGUUUUUGAAAGCUGAAAGUUGUAAUAUUUUGCUUCGUUUUGUGGUAGCACAGAUGAAAGAAAGUUGUAAUAUUUUGCUUUGCUUUGAGGCCUGAAUGUGUAGCUAUAUAUAACCAGCAAACUUAGAGUCGGACAAUUGCA